CAUUGCAAUUAUUGCUCUUCAACGAGGAAUGCCUAGUAAGCGCAUGUCAUCAGCAUGCGUUGAUUACGUCCCUGCCCUUUGUACACACCGCCCGUCGCUACUACCGAUUGAAUGGCUCAGUGAGGCCUUCGGACUGGCCCAGGGAGGUCGGCAACGACCACCCAGGGCCGGAAAGUUGGUCAAACUCGGUCAUUUAGAGGAAGUAAAAGUCGUAACAAGGUCUCCGUAGGUGAACCUGCGGAGGGAUCAUUA
rnacentral:ncRNA from 1 species